UUCUUAUUGAAUGAUGACUGACACAUGUCAUGUUUUAAUUGAAUGUUAAAUCCAUAGAAGAUGAAAUAUAUUAUUGUUGUCAUUGGUCAGAACAUGACUUGUGACAUCAUCAUCU
rfam:Glycine soja cultivar W05 scaffold1954_23, whole genome shotgun sequence.